rnacentral:misc_RNA from 1 species
AAAAGUCGUAACAAGGUUUCCGUAGGUGAACCUGCGGAAGGAUCAUUAACACGUAUCCAACGUUAAAACCCCUGUGAACCUUACACCACGGCUGCUUCUCCGCAUGGGGCUGGUAUCUCACACAGACUGCGAUUGAUUCAGUGGCGAAAGGUCCCAAGUGGGACUGGACGCACUCCUGGUUUCAGACGUUAAAUUACCGUACAACUGUUAGCAAUGGAUAUCUAGGUUUCCG